rnacentral:rRNA from 1 species
AAUGAACGCUGGCGGCGUGCUUAACACAUGCAAGUCGAGCGAGAAAGCCUCUUCGGAGGCAAGUACAGCGGCGGACGGGUGAGGAACACGUGAGAAUUUACCCUUCAGUGAGGAAUACCCUCGAGAAAUCGAGGUUAAUACUGCAUACGUCCCUUCGGGGAGAAAGAUGGCCUCUUUGCUGUCGCUAAAGGAUAAGCUUGCGGGCUAUUAGCUUGUUGGUGAGGUAAUGGCUUACCAAGGCGAUGAUGGCUAGCCGGCCUGAGAGGGUGUACGGCCACACUGGAACUUAGACACGGUCCAGACUCCUACGGGAGGCAGCAGUGGGGAAUAUUGCGCAAUGGGCGAAAGCCUGACGCAGCGACGCCGCGUGAAGGAUGAAGGUUUUCGGAUCGUAAACUUCUGUUAAGUGGGAAGAAAGACCACCUUUUAACAGAAGGUGGGGAUGACUGUACCAUUAGAGAAAGCACCGGCUAACUUCGUGCCAGCAGCCGCGGUAAUACGAGGGGUGCAAGCGUUAUUCGGAAUCAUUGGGCGUAAAGGGUGCGUAGACGGCUCAUUAAGUCAACUGUUAAAUCCUCCGGCCUAACUGGAGUUCAGCGGUAGAAACUGAUAAGCUUGAGGUUGGAAGAGAGAAGUGGAAUUCUCGGAGUAGCGGUAAAAUGCGUAGAUCUCGAGAGGAACACCAAUGGCGAAGGCAGCUUCUUGGUCCAAAUCUGACGUUGAGGCACGAAAGCGUGGGGAGCAAACAGGAUUAGAUACCCUGGUAGUCCACGCCGUAAACGAUGAUCACUAGACGUUAACUCUGCUUGCAGGGUGAGUGUCGUAGCUAACGCGCUAAGUGAUCCGCCUGGGGAUUACGGUCGCAAGACUAAAACUCAAAGGAAUUGACGGGGGCCCGCACAAGCGGUGGAACAUGUGGUUUAAUUCGACAAUCCGCGAGGAACCUUACCUAGACUUGACAUGCUUUUGACAGCUGUAGAAAUACAGUCUUUUACAUUUCGGUGUAGACAAUUGCACAGGUGCUGCAUGGUUGUCGUCAGCUCGUGUCGUGAGAUGUUGGGUUAAGUCCUUUAACGAGCGCAACUCCUGCCGAUAGUUGCUACUUGAUUUAUCAAGGCACUCUAUCGGGACUGCCUGGGAAACCAGGAGGAAGGUGGGAAUGACGUCAAAUCAUCAUGGUCCUUAUGUCUAGGGCUACACACGUGUUACAAUGGUCGGUACAAAAGGUAGCAAUUCCGUAAGGAUGAGCAAAUCCCAAAAGCCAAUCUAAGUUCGGAUUGCGGUCUGCAACUCGACCGCAUGAAGUUGAAAUCGCUAGUAAUCGCGCAUCAGCAACGGCGCGGUGAAUACGUUCACGAGCC